UACGAAGGGGGCUAGCGUUGCUCGGAAUUAUUGGGCGUAAAGGGCGCGUAGGCGGCUUGAUGUGUCAAAGGUGAAAUCCCUCGGCUCAACUGAGGAACUGCCUUUGAAACUGUCUGGCUUGAGGCCGGGAGAGGGUAGCGGAAUUCCCAGUGUAGCGGUGAAAUGCGUAGAUACUGGGAGGAACACCGGUGGCGAAGGCGGCUACCUGGACCGGUUCUGACGCUGAUGCGCGAAAGCGUGGGGAGCGAACAGG
rnacentral:rRNA from 1 species